rnacentral:rRNA from 1 species
GGUUCAUUCAAAUUUCUGCCCUAUCAACUUUCGAUGGUAAGGUAUUGGCUUACCAUGGUUUCAACGGGUAACGGGGAAUUAGGGUUCGAUUCCGGAGAGGGAGCCUGAGAAACGGCUACCACAUCCAAGGAAGGCAGCAGGCGCGCAAAUUACCCAAUCCCGACCGGGGAGGUAGUGACAAUAAAUACUGAUACAGGGCUCUUUUGGGUCUUGUAAUUGGAAUGAGUACAAUUUAAACCUCUUACGAGGGAACAAUUGGAGGGCAAGUCUGGUGCCAGCAGCCGCGGUAAUUCCAGCUCCAAUAGCGUAUAUUAAAGUUGUUGCAGUUAAAAAGCUCGUAGUUG